CGGGUGAGUAAUGCUUGGGAAUCUGGCUUAUGGAGGGGGAUAACUACGGGAAACUGUAGCUAAUACCGCGUAGUGUCGAGAGACGAAAGUGCGGGACCGAAAGGCCGCAUGCCAUGAGAUGAGCCCAAGUGGGAUUAGGUAGUUGGUGGGGUAAAGGCCUACCAAGCCUGCGAUCUCUAGCUGGCCUGAGAGGAUGGCCAGCCACACUGGAACUGAGACACGGUCCAG
rnacentral:rRNA from 1 species